rnacentral:rRNA from 1 species
CCUACGGGAGGCAGCAGUGAGGAAUAUUGGUCAAUGGACGAGAGUCUGAACCAGCCAAGUAGCGUGAAGGAUGACUGCCCUAUGGGUUGUAAACUUCUUUUAUAUGGGAAUAAAACGUUCCAUGUGUGGGAUUUUGUAUGUACCAUAUGAAUAAGGAUCGGCUAACUCCGUGCCAGCAGCCGCGGUAAUACGGAGGAUCCGAGCGUUAUCCGGAUUUAUUGGGUGUAAAGGGAGCGUAGGUGGAUUGUUAAGUCAGUUGUGAAAGUUUGCGGCUCAACCGUAAAAUUGCAGUUGAAACUGGCAGUCUUGAGUACAGUAGAGGUGGGCGGAAUUCGUGGUGUAGCGGUGAAAUGCUUAGAUAUCACGAAGAACUCCGAUUGCGAAGGCAGUUCACUGGACUGCAACUGACACUGAGGCUCGAAAGUGUGGGUAUCAAACAGGAUUAGAUACCCCGGUAGUC